AGGACGAACGCUGGCGGCGUGCCUAAAGCAUGCAAGUCGAACGGUUUGAGCAAUUGAACAGUGGCGAACGGCGGAGUAAGUACAUAAGCAACGUGCCCCGAAGACUGGGAUAGUCGUUGGAAACGACGGGUAAUACCAGAUGUGGCUGCGAUCCGGCAUCGGAUAGCAAUUAAACGGUUUUUCGCUUCGGGAGCGGCUUAUGGCCUAUCAGGUAGUUGGUGGGGUAAAGGCCUACCAAGCCGACGACGGGUAGCGGGUCUGAGAGGAUGAUCCGCCCGAGCGGGACUGAGACACGGCCCACACACCUACGGGUGGCAGCAGCUGGGAAUCUUGCACAAUGGGGGAAACCCUGAUGCAGCGACGCCGCGUGGAGGAUGAAGGGUCUAGGCUCGUAAACUCCUUUUGACUAGGAAAGACUUAGGACGGUACCUGUCGAAUAAGGUCCGGCUAACUACGUGCCAGCAGCCGC
rnacentral:rRNA from 1 species